CUACGGGGCGCUGCAGUGGGGAAUUUUGCGCAAUGGGGGAAACCCUGACGCAGCAAUACCGCGUGAGUGAAGAAGGCCUUUGGGUCGUAAAGCUCUUUUCUUGGGGAAGAUAGUGACGGUACCCAAGGAAUAAGCACCGGCUAACUCCGUGCCAGCAGCCGCGGUAAUACGGAGGGUGCAAGCGUUGUUCGGAUUUACUGGGCGUAAAGGGCACGUAGGCGGCACAGCAAGUUAAGGGUGAAAUCCCGGGGCUCAACUCCGGAACUGCUCUUAAAACUGCUGAGCUAGAGAUAGUCAGAGGCGGGUGGAAUUCCAGGUGUAGAGGUGAAAUUCGUAGAUAUCUGGAGGAACACCGGUGGCGAAGGCGGCCCGCUGGGGCUAUUCUGACGCUAAGGUGCGAAAGCGUGGGGAGCAAACGGGAUUAGAUACCCGUGUAGUC
rnacentral:rRNA from 1 species